rnacentral:rRNA from 1 species
GGACUACCGGGGUAUCUAAUCCUGUUUGCUCCCCACGCUUUCGCGUCUCAGCGUCAGUACCGUUCCAGCGAGCUGCCUUCGCCAUUGGUGUUCCUCCUGAUAUCUGCGCAUUUCACCGCUACACCAGGAAUUCCACUCGCCUCUCCCGGACUCUAGCCCGACAGUUUCCACCGGCAUCCCAGGGUUGAGCCCUGGACUUUUACAGCGGACUUACCGAGCCGCCUACACGCUCUUUACGCCCAAUGAUUCCGGACAACGCUUGCACCCUACGUAUUACCGCGGCGGCUGGCAC